rnacentral:rRNA from 1 species
GAUGAACGCUGGCGGCGUGCUUAACACAUGCAAGUCGAACGGAAAGGCCCAAGCUUGCUUGGGUACUCGAGUGGCGAACGGGUGAGUAACACGUGGGUGAUCUGCCCUGCACUUCGGGAUAAGCCUGGGAAACUGGGUCUAAUACCGGAUAGGACGAUGGUUUGGAUGCCAUUGUGGAAAGUUUUUUCGGUGUGGGAUGAGCUCGCGGCCUAUCAGCUUGUUGGUGGGGUAAUGGCCUACCAAGGCGUCGACGGGUAGCCGGCCUGAGAGGGUGUACGGCCACAUUGGGACUGAGAGACAGCCCAGACUCCUACGGGAGGCAGCAGUGGGGAAUAUUGCACAAUGGGCGCGAGCCUGAUGCAGCGACGCCGCGUGGGGGAUGACGGCCUUCGGGUUGUAAACUCCUUUCGCUAGGGACGAGGCGUUUUUGUGACGGUACCUGGAGAAGAAGCACCGGCUAACUACGUG